rnacentral:misc_RNA from 1 species
GAAAUGCGAUAAGUAAUGUGAAUUGCAGAAUUCAGUGAAUCAUCGAAUCUUUGAACGCACAUUGCGCCCGCCAGUAUUCUGGCGGGCAUGCCUGUUCGAGCGUCAUUUCAACCAUCGAGCCCCCGGGCUUGUGUUGGGGACCUGCGGCUGCCCGCAGGCCCUGAAAACCAGUGGCGGGCUCGCUGUCACCCCGAGCGUAGUAGUUAAUCCAACUCGCCCAGGGCGUGCUGCGGGCUCCGGCCGUUAAGCCACCCAUUACCCCCCCAAGGUUGACCUCGGAUCAGGUAGGAAUACCCGCUGAACUUAA